rnacentral:sRNA from 1 species
CCGGGAUGUUCAUAACCCUUUGUUGUCCGACUCUGUUGCCUCCGGGGCGACCCUGCCUUCGGGCGGGGGCUCCGGGUGGACACUUCAAACUCUUGCGUAACUUUGCAGUCUGAGUAAACUUAAUUAAUAAAUUAAAACUUUUAACAACGGAUCUCUUGGUUCUGGCAUCGAUGAAGAACGCAGCGAAAUGCGAUAAGUAAUGUGAAUUGCAGAAUUCAGUGAAUCAUCGAAUCUUUGAACGCACAUUGCGCCCCCUGGUAUUCCGGGGGGCAUGCCUGUUCGAGCGUCAUUUCACCACUCAAGCCUCGCUUGGUAUUGGGCAACGCGGUCCGCCGCGUGCCUCAAAUCGACCGGCUGGGUCUUCUGUCCCCUAAGCGUUGUGGAAACUAUUCGCUAAAGGGUGUUCGGGAGGCUACGCCGUAAAACAACCCCACGGCGAGUGAAGCAGCAAUAGCUCAAAUUUGAAAUCUGGCGUCUUCGACGUCCGAGUUGUAAUUUGUAGAGGAUGCUUCUGAGUAACCACCGACCUAAGUUCCUUGGAACAGGACGUCAUAGAGGGUGAGAAUCCCGUAUGCGGUCGGAAAGGUGCUCUAUACGUAGCUCCUUCGACGAGUCGAGUUGUUUGGGAAUGCAGCUCUAAAUGGGAGGUAAAUUUCUUCUAAAGCUAAAUAUUGGCCAGAGACCGAUAGCGCACAAGUAGAGUGAUCGAAAGAUGAAAAGCACUUUGGAAAGAGAGUUAAAAAGCACGUGAAAUUGUUAAAAGGGAAGGGAUUGCAACCAGACUUGCUCGCGGUGUUCCGCCGGUCUUCUGACCGGUCUACUCGCCGCGUUGCAGGCCAGCAUCGUCUGGUGCCGCUGGAUAAGACUUGAGGAAUGUAGCUCCCUCGGGAGUGUUAUAGCCUCUUGUGAUGCAGCGAGCGCCGGGCGAGGUCCGCGCUUCGGCUAGGAUGCUGGCGUAAUGGUCGUAAUCCGCCCGUCUUGAAACACGGACCAAGGAGUCUAACAUCUAUGCGAGUGUUCGGGUGUCAAACCCCUACGCGUAAUGAAAGUGAACGGAGGUGAGAACCGCANGGUGCAUCAUCGACCGAUCCUGAUGUCUUCGGAUGGAUUUGAGUAAGAGCAUA